AAAGCAUUAGGGAGGAAUGCAGCACCACUGAAUGUGAUAAUUUGGAAGGAGAAUACUCACCUCGAUGGCACUGAAAUAUCAAGCAAAGGGAUACAGAACUUUACCUCAUAUCUGAGAGAAUCCAGCAACUGUUCACAGAGAUGAUGAAGGAACUGGAACAUCUCUACUAUAUCUCUCUUCCAAGAGAGCUCAGAUUCUUCAGCCUAGAGAAGAAGAGAUACAGGGGAAUUCAUCAGUGUCUGUAUAGAAGAAAAAAAGGAAUUGUCUAUACAAACUCUGUUGCAUUCCACAAACUGAAAUUCAGAAAGAAUGUUUUGAGGAUAAGUUGUGCUGCUAAAUCCUACAUCUUCAACUCAAAGAGACAUGAAAACAAAAAAAAUAUGUAAGUGUAAACAAAACUGAAUCAAAUCAUCCAAUAAGCAAUAAAAAUCUUAAUAAGUAGAAAAUUUGCAAACAGAGUAUAAUAGAAGUGUCUCGUGUUAACACAAAGUAAUGCAAAUAUUGUAUGGACUUUUCUUUAGUUUUCAGCUUAACAAUUUUGUUGCUUUUUAUUUUGAACAUUUAUUACAUUCUGCCAUGUUGUUUCCAUAAUCUUUUCUUUUUUUUUCUUUGUUUUUCUUAAAUUGCUAGUUGACAUUUAAUAGAUACAUUUUGCUAAUUUGUGGAAGAAAAGAUCUUCAGGGGCUGUUAAGCAUGGAGGCUACCAGGACACAUUUGUAAAGGAACUCAAUCUAGCAGAUGAACAAGAAAUACAGAAUGGCUCAUAAUCACAUGGCUCAGGGCUAGACAUCUCUUGAGUGGACAUAUCUAUACUGACUGUUUCCAGUCUCAGGUCUUUUUAAACAUCCAGUCAGUGCACCACACUGGCUUUAGGACAUCUCCAGAAUAACUAUCAGUGUUUAGACAAUAUUGUUUUACCCUUCCCCAUCCCCCUGGAUUCAAGUGGCAGAAACAAGGUUUGUGUGAGGGCUGUGUUGUCUGUAUACAGCCAUGUUGGGAGUAUGGGCUGGGGACAUGGCAUGACUUUGCAUGAGGACAGGGCAGUGGCUGGGACAGUGAGAUAGGAUUCUAGAGGGAGGAAAAUCUGGUACUAUUUUGUCUACAAUGACUGUUGCGGUUUAAACUGGCAGGAAGCUAAGCACUACAUAGCCUUACAUUCACUCCUCCAACUCCCAGUGAGAUGGGGGAGAGAAUUAGAAAAAAAAAAAGAAAGAACUAGAAUUUGCAAGUUGAGAUAAAAACCAUUUACUAAGACAGAAGAGGAAGAGUAAAAUAAUACAAAUGACAGUCUUAUAUACAUAUAUAUUUACAAAACAGGUGAUGCACAAAGCAGCUGCACAUCACCUGCUGAUCAGUGUCCAGCCAGUCUCUGGGCAAUGCCUGCCUCCCUGUUAAACUGUGUUCAGUUUUAUAAUUUUUUUUGCAUGAUGUCAUAUGAUAUGUAAAAUCCCUUUGGCCAGUCAGGAUCAUCUGUCCUAGUUCUGUUCCGUCCCAGCAACUUGUGCCACCUCACUGACCUCACUGGCAGGGCAGUACAAGAGGUAAUAUGAAUCUAUUUAAAUGGAUCAAAUCAUUGGAGAGAAUUGUGAAAAAGAAAGAAAGAAAGAAAGAAAGAAAGAAAGAAAGAAAGAAAGAAAGAAAGAAAGAAAGAA
ensembl:lncRNA